rnacentral:misc_RNA from 1 species
UUUCCGUAGGUGAACCUGCGGAAGGAUCAUUAUUGAAACUUCAUCCGGGGCGCCGCGGCCCUCAGCACCGGUGGAAGCGCAGUGCUGCGGGGGCCUCGCGUGCACUCGUCCAAACCAAACCCCUGUGAACCUUACGGGAUGGCCCGGGUUAGCGCCCGGUGCCGUUCCGCUUUAUACAAACACUUAUCAAAGAAUGAACUGAAGGCGGUCUGACCGCUGGAUAACGAACUGAACCAACUUUCAACAACGGAUCUCUUGGCUCUC